rnacentral:rRNA from 1 species
UACAGAGGGUGCUAGCGUUGUUCGGAAUUAUUGGGCGUAAAGGGCGCGUAGGCGGCCCUGUGUGUCGGGUGUGAAAGCCCACCUCUUAAAGGUGGAAUUGCAUUCGAAACUACAGGGCUGGAGUGUCGGAGAGGAUGGCGGAAUUCCUGGUGUAGAGGUGAAAUUCGUAGAUAUCAGGAGGAACACCGGUGGCGAAGGCGGCCAUCUGGACGACAACUGACGCUGAGGCGCGAAAGCGUGGGGAGCAAACAGGG